UACGUAGGGGGCAAGCGUUGUCCGGAUUUAUUGGGCGUAAAGAGCGUGUAGGCGGUUUGGUAGGUCCGCUGUGAAAACUCGAGACUCAACCUCGAGACGCCGGUGGAAACCAUCAGACUAGAGUCCGGAAGAGGAGAGUGGAAUUCCUGGUGUAGCGGUGAAAUGCGCAGAUAUCAGGAAGAACACCCGUGGCUAAGGCGGCUCUCUAGUACGGUACUGACGCUGAGACGCGAAAGCGUGGGGAGCGAACAGG
rnacentral:rRNA from 1 species